CCUUCCGUAGGUGAACCUGSGGRWGGAUCAUKACCUAGAGUUGUAGGCUUUGCCUGCUAUCUCUUACCCAUGUCUUUUAAGUACCUUACGUUUCCUCGGCGGGUCCGCCCGCCGAUUGGACAAUUUAAACCAUUUGCAGUUGCAAUCAGCGUCUGAAAAAACUUAAUAGUUACAACUUUCAACAACGGAUCUCUUGGUUCUGGCAUCGAUGAAGAACGCAGCGAAAUGCGAUAAGUAGUGUGAAUUGCAGAAUUCAGUGAAUCAUCGAAUCUUUGAACGCACAUUGCGCCCCUUGGUAUUCCAUGGGGCAUGCCUGUUCGAGCGUCAUUUGUACCUUCAAGCUCUGCUUGGUGUUGGGUGUUUGUCUCGCCUCUGCGUGUAGACUCGCCUCAAAACAAUUGGCAGCCGGCGUAUUGAUUUCGGAGCGCAGUACAUCUCGCGCUUUGCACUCAUAACGACGACGUCCAAAAGUACAUUUUUACACUCUUGACCUCGGAUCAGGUAGGGAUACCCGCUKAWYUUAAGCAUAUCAAUAAGCGGAGGAA
rnacentral:rRNA from 1 species